GAUGAACGCUAGCUACAGGCUUAACACAUGCAAGUCGAGGGGCAGCAUGAACAAAGCUUGCUUUGUUUGAUGGCGACCGGCGCACGGGUGCGUAACACGUAUCCAAUCUGCCCCGCGGCUCGGGGAUAGCCCAUCGAAAGAUGGAUUAAUACCCGAUGGCGUGGUCACUCCGCAUGGAGUUUCCACUAAAGGUUUUCCGGCCGCGGAUGAGGAUGCGUAUGAUUAGGUAGUAGGCGGGGUAACGGCCCACCUAGCCUACGAUCAGUAGGGGUUCUGAGAGGAAGGUCCCUCACAUUGGAA
rnacentral:rRNA from 1 species